rnacentral:rRNA from 1 species
UACGUAGGCAGCGAGCGUUGUUCGGAGUUACUGGGCGUAAAGGGUGUGUAGGCGGUUGUUUAAGUUUGGUGUGAAAUCUCCCGGCUCAACUGGGGAGGGUGCGCCGAAUACUGAAUGACUUGGAGUGCGGGAGAGGUGAGUGGAAUUCCUGGUGUAGCGGUGAAAUGCGUAGAUAUCAGGAGGAACACCGGUGGUGUAGACGGCUCACUGGACCGUAACUGACGCUGAGACACGAAAGCGUGGGUAGCAAACAGG